CUAGUCCUUAAAUACUGGGAGAUAAGAAUGAAAACAAAAGCCCAGGUCAGUGAGUAAAGUGCCCUUGUUCUGCUACUGGCCAGCAUGAGAUUUGUUAUUUUUUUUAAUCACCUUUCUGGUAAGGUCAGUUCUGUAUUUACAGCUAUUAUUACCUCUGCAUUAUAAAAUCAAUACACCAAUCUACAGAUGUUGGCCAGUAUUUUAGGUAACAUAAGCAAAGCUAAGCUUCCAUAGGGGUGUAAACAUGGUUAACAAGGAAGUACUAAUUAGCAUCACUAUGUGCACACACUUGCAGUAGGAAACAAAACUACUGCACAGCUUGCCAUUAAUCCUUAGGGAAGGUGAGUGUAUCUGUACCUGCUGCUGCUAUGUACUGGUCACCCCUGUGAAUUCUUGUUGAAAACAGCAAUGCUUCCUCCUCUGAUCCUGAGUUAAAAACCACUAUUUACUAUUGCUUGACUUUCUGAAAGAGAAGAAUACAGUGAAUUUACCAGAGUAUUAAAUGUUAGAAGUUCUAGGGAGAGGAAAACAAAACAACCCAAACAACCACAAAAUCCUUUUUGUAAACAUUUAACGCCCUCACAAAAAACAGAACAAAGGAGGUUUUGUUUUCUAAAGGUGUGUAUUUGUUUCAAGUAAGUUCAAAUGUGGGAUCUACAGAUUCUGUUUAAUGUUUUCAUCUUAGUAACAAAGCUUACCCAUUCUUCUCCUAUUCCAAACAAGCUUUACCAUAUUAAAUAUAAUCAAAGCAAGGAAUAGAGCAGUAUGACUGGUCGUGAUUGGUUUUGGUACUUAUUGCACAGCUAAUUGGCUAUUAACAUCAUUGCCAUGCUAGCAUCCAUCCAGCAGGAGGAAGCAGCUCUUGAAGGCACUGAAGGAACUAAACUUGCUCUAUUAAAAAGAGGAAAAACCUGUUACUUAGACAUCCACAUCUGCCAUUGCUCUCUGCAGAGGAUCAACAGACCAGUAGUCAUCAUCCCAGCCCAGGAACCAGCCAGAGAAGGUUGGAGGCUCAAGCCCCUGCUUAACCAGUGUGACUGGAGUUCUCUUAUCACGGCUGGCUGGAUCAGUUUCAAUGUAUCGUUUAGCUGAUUUCAAAGCCUCAGUCUUUUCUUCCUCCUGGGCAUCUUUUCCAAUCCAUACAAACACCUGGUCCCAUGUGUCAAGGAUCAUAACAUCAUCUGUUGCAAGGUCAUCCUGAGUCAGAUCUCCAGGGACUUCUUCAAUAGUGAAGCGUCCACUCUUGUUGGAGCACGCAAAAAGACGAGGGGGGUGAGCAUCCAUCUUCUUGUCCUUCAGCCGAGGAGAGGUACGGUAGGGAGCUUUUCCACCCAAAGCCACCCAAAAGUUAUCUGGCUCUCUACCCUCGGAAACCUGUACUGGGCGAGCUCCCAGAACCUUCAGCAGCUCUUGUGCUCCUGACAGCUCGGCACUGUUGGAGCCUCGGCCAACCCAGAGGUAAGCAGCAGAGGGAGUUUUCAGGACAAAAGCAUCAUUGGAGUUCAGCUGACUGGCAACAGGAUCCAGCUCUACAGCUCUGGUGGCUCCCGAGGUGCUGGACCGGACCUGGAACAGCCGUGUUUGUGCUGGUGUGGUCUGGCCUCCUUCCCGAGAUGUUCCACCCUUGUAAACAAUCAAGGGUUUUCCACCAAACAUGCUCAUCAGAUGAGGUGGCUCUUUUCCUUGCACUACUCGUUUCUGCACAGGGCUGCCUCCCAGCUCCUCAUCCAGCUGUACUGUGAGGAAUGCCGAAGUCGCAAUUUCAUCUUGAGUGGAAUGAGCACCCUGCCAAGUGUAAAUGAUCUGCCCCUGCUUUCCAGCAUGCCGGUAGUCAUACAAGAUGAUAUAACUAUCCCCUCCAUAGAAUUGGCCAUAUGUUGCAGGAUCCACUGGCACUUUCUCUGAGCCUUCUAUUCUCCAAAUCUGUUUCUUGCCAGAGCCAUCAUCCUCCAUGCCAUGCUGGGCAGCCAUGGCCCUGGAGGUGUGUAGAGUGGCAGCAUCAAAAGGUACUUUCUCGAUUUUGGCAACAUGACCAGAAAUGUAAGCCUCUCCCAGUCCUUCUGUCUGGUCUUUGUCCCUCCAGUUCUUGAAGAAUUGUUUAAACAAAGGUGUUUCACCACUCUCAGGGAGAACUUGGACCUGGGUAUGUUUCGGAUAACCCAUCUUCUCAAUGAAAUCAGUAGCUGUUUUCAGGGCUGCCUUUCUCUCAUCAGAAUUGGCACUCCUGCCUUUCCAAACAAAGAUCUUUCCAUCUGUGCCAUGGUCCAGAAUGAAGCAGUCUUCCGUGUUCAGUGCUGCCUGGGAGAAGGGGUUUUCAUCUGCCACAAGGGAAACUGCCAUGUUCCCAGCCCCAUUUGAGACCUUAUAGAGCUUAGCCAGCUUUCUAUUGGCUGUAUCAGUUUUAGUAUCAUCAGAAGCUCCUUGUGGCAAGCUGGGCUUUGGUCCUAGGACCUGAAGCAUUUCCUCCCGCUCUGCUCCUUCCUCUGAAACAAAGACUUUGGCACGACCGUUCCUCUCAUUGUCCCGAAUCCCCUUGGCUAGGACAGUGGCCUUCAGACGCUCCUGGCGGUUGCUGUUGGAGCCACACCACUGAUAGAUGUUACUGCCAAGGUCAAGGAUGAAACAAUCCCCCGUGUUGAAGCUCUCCCAGCUCACAGGGACCUCUGUUGCUCUGACUGUUCUCCUGCCCUUGACCUGGAGAAGCCUCUGCACAGUUACUUCAUUGGGAACCACAUGCCUGAAGCCAGAAGCCACGCCACCAGCCUUGUACUUGAUGCCAGACUUGAAAUACCCCAGGAACGUUGAGGAUUCAUGGCCUUGCACUUCACGGUGCUGGACAGCUUUCCCUUGCAGGUAGUCAUCCAUCUGAACAGUGAAUAUGGCAGCUGCCCCACGCUCAUCUUGAGAGCUUUCAUCUCCUAACCAGAAGUGCAAGUCGUACUGGAGGUUCCCACUCCGCUGCCUGAUGGUGUUAAGCACCAGAUAGGAAUCCCCUGUGAAGAAGUCUCCGUACAGAUUUUUUGGCACUGGUACCAAAUCAAAUUUCUCGAUCCUCCAAAUCUGGAGGCCAGGCUCCUUCCCAGCCUUCGAAAACUCAGCGUGCUCCACCAUGCUGACAGGCACAGCUGAAAGCACCACAGCUGCUGUAACAACAUAGCCAAGCCCUGCAACAGACACGGAGCUCAC
rnacentral:lncRNA from 1 species